CUCAGCAAAUGCCGCGACGCCCCGCGUCGCCCCCGCCGCCUCCGUUCCUGACUCCGCCGCCCCGCCGGCACGCCCCCGCCUCUGGUCCGGACUCCGCCGCCCCGACCAACGCUUCCUCGCCUCCGCUCCGGCCGCCGCCGCCGCCCCGCCCGACGCGCCCCUGCAUCCCUGCCUCAACGACCGCCUCGAGCGUUCGGCCGCCGCCCUCGUCGUCGCUAUGCUCAGGCACGGCGUUUUCGAGCUGGUGUCCCCAACUAUGGAGGUUUACUCGUGGGGAGGAUUGCUCAUGGAUUCUACCCGCAGCUAUCAGGCAAUCGUAGUGUCACGUGGUCACAAUCGGCUAAAGGGACUUGGGACAUGAUCUGCCUUUGUUGCGACACUUUGUUCACAUAAGAUUGCAUAUGCUGAUGGUAAUUUUCUGCCACCGGAACAAGAUAAGUAAAAGAGUUUUAGAGUUUUGCUUCACAGGGAGAACCAGAUAAAAACAUUGAA